GAUGAAGAACGCAGCGAAAUGCGAUACUUGGUGUGAAUUGCAGAAUCCCGUGAACCAUCGAGUCUUUGAACGCAAGUUGCGCCUCAAGCCAUUAGGUUGAGGGCACGUCUGCCUGGGCGUCACAUAUCGUUGCCUGAUGCCAGUUUCCCCGUGAUGGGUGACUGUGCAGGGCGAAUGAUGGCUUCCCGUGAGCAUUGUUGCCUCAUGGUUGGUUGAAAAUUGAGUCCUUGGUAGGGAGCGCCGUGAUAGAUGGUGGUUGAGUGACGAACGAGACCCAAUCAUGUGAGACCCCUACCGAAUUUGGCCUUCAUGACCCACAUGCGUCUUUGGAACGCUCAUGACGAGACCUCAGGUCAGGCGGGGCUACCCGCUGAGUUUAAGCAUAUCAAUAAGCGGAGGA
rnacentral:misc_RNA from 1 species